UGACAACAGAGAAGAUUAGCAUGCUCCCUGCGCCAGGAAGACACGCACAAAUCGAAAAAUGAUCCAAAUUUUU
rnacentral:snRNA from 2 species